GACAGAGGGGGCAGGCGUUGCUCGGAAUCACUGGGCGUAAAGGGCGCGUAGGCGGGAUGGCAAGUCGGUCGUGAAAUCCCUCGGCUCAACCGAGGAGCGUCGGCCGAUACUGCCGUUCUUGAGGGAUGCAGAGGAGACUGGAAUUCCCGGUGUAGCGGUGAAAUGCGUAGAGAUCAUGAGGAAGACCAGUGGCGAAGGCGGGUCUCUGGACAGUUCCUGACACUGAGGCACGAAGGCCAGGGGAGCAAACGGG
rnacentral:rRNA from 1 species